rnacentral:rRNA from 1 species
GACGAACCGUGCGAACGUUGUUCGGAUUCACUGGGCUUAAAGGGCGCGUAGGCGGUCGUUCAAGUCGGGGGUGAAAUCUUUCAGCUCAACUGGAAAAUAGCCUCCGAUACUGGGCGGCUCGAGGGGGAUAGGGGCGCGCGGAACUUCCGGUGGAGCGGUGAAAUGCGUAGAUAUGACAUAGAACACCAAUUGCGAAGGCAGCUGGCUACACGAAUAUUGACACUGAUGCACGAAAGCGUGGGGAUCAAACAGG